rnacentral:rRNA from 1 species
UACAGAGGUCUCAAGCGUUGUUCGGAUUCAUUGGGCGUAAAGGGUGUGUAGGUGGCGCGCUAAGUCGGGUGUGAAAUUUCGGAGCUUAACUCCGAACUGCAUUCGAUACUGGCGUGCUUGAGGACUGGAGAGGAGACUGGAAUUCAUGGUGUAGCAGUGAAUGCGUAGAGAUCAUGAGGAAGACCAGUGGCGAAGGCGGUCUCUGGACAGUUCCUGACACUGAGACACGAAGCCAGGGAGCAACGG